rnacentral:tRNA from 1 species
GAUUCCAUUGUGUAAUGGUUAUUUUAUUUGCAUAUAAACUAUAAGGCCCUGGGUUCAAUCCCCAGUGGAAUUA